UACGAGGUGGUGUAUGAUGCACACAAGUCUUUGAUACUUAAGGUACUAGUUUAACUCUAGGUUUCGUAA
rnacentral:tRNA from 1 species